rnacentral:rRNA from 1 species
UACGAAGGGGGCUAGCGUUGCUCGGAGUUACUGGGCGUAAAGCGUGCGUAGGCGGUGUCUUAAGUUUGUUGUGAAAUCUCCCGGCUUAACCGGGAGGGUGCGGCGAAUACUGAGAUGCUGGAGUGCCGGAGAGGUAAGCGGAAUUCCUGGUGUAGCGGUGAAAUGCGUAGAUAUCAGGAGGAACACCUGCGGUGUAGACGGCUUACUGGACGGUAACUGACGCUGAGGCACGAAAGCGUGGGUAGCAAACAGG